rnacentral:SRP_RNA from 1 species
GCCAGGCGCGGUGACCCAUGCCUGUAGUCCCAGCUACUCAGGAGGUUGAGGUGGGAGGAUCGCUUGAGCCCGGGAGUUCUAGGCUGUAAUGCACUAUGCCGAUCGGGUGUCCGCACUAAGUUCAGCAUCAAUAUGGUGACCUCCUGGGAGCAGGGACCACCAAGUUGCCUAAUGGGAGGAGUGAACCUGCCCAGGUUGGAAACGGAGCAGGUCAAAACUCCUGUGCUAAUCAGUAGUGAGAUUAUGCCUGUGAAUAGCCACUGCACUCCAGCCUGGGCAACAUAGCAAGACCUCAUCUCU